rnacentral:misc_RNA from 1 species
GUGGGAGCUGGCUUGCCUGCGAUAGCGGUGUGCCAGUCAGCCGUUCAGUGACUGAUACACCGCUAUCGCAGGCAAGCCAGCUCCCAC